GUUUAUGAAAGUCUAUCCACAUAUGUCGUGGACAUUAUGAUAUGAUAUUUAAGCACUAUAAUUCUGUGAAAAUAAACAGUAAUUCACAUUAGGCCAUACAAAAUAACCAUCACUGGACAGCUUAACAAAUUCAAAACAAAGUUAAUGAGGUGGGAGGCUUAUUAUUUCUUCUUUAUAAUUCACAUUGGAAUACUGGAACUUGUCUUCAGUUAAAAAGACCUGUUCUACAAUUUAUUUCUGACAGAAACAGAAAUUGACUGUUGCCAAAGUACUAACAAAUGUCAUCAACAAUUAUAAUGAAAAACAAGUUACAUUAUAUCAAAUGAUUCUUUUGUGCAAAAUAAAAACAAAAAACAAA